rnacentral:rRNA from 1 species
GACGAACGCUGGCGGCGUGCCUAAUACAUGCAAGUUGAGCGCUGAAGGUUGGUACUUGUACCGACUGGAUGAGCAGCGAACGGGUGAGUAACGCGUGGGGAAUCUGCCUUUGAGCGGGGGACAACAUUUGGAAACGAAUGCUAAUACCGCAUAAAAACUUUAAACACAAGUUUUAAGUUUGAAAGAUGCAAUUGCAUCACUCAAAGAUGAUCCCGCGUUGUAUUAGCUAGUUGGUGAGGUAAAGGCUCACCAAGGCGAUGAUACAUAGCCGACCUGAGAGGGUGAGCGGCCACAUUGGGACUGAGACACGGCCCAAACUCCUACGGGAGGCAGCAGUAGGGAAUCGUCGGCAAUGGACGAAAGUCUGACCGAGCAACGCCGCGUGAGUGAAGAAGGUUUUCGGAUCGUAAAACUCUGUUGGUAGAGAAGAACGUUGGUGAGAGUGGAAAGCUCAUCAAGUGACGGUAACUACCCAGAAAGGGACGGCUAACUACGUG